GCCGCGUUGGCGUAGUGGUAGCGCGUCUCACUUGUACGUCGCCCUUUGUGGCGUGCUUCAAUGAGAAGGUCAUUCGUUCAAUCCGGGUACGUGGCA